UACGGAGGAUGCAAGCGUUAUCCGGAAUGAUUGGGCGUAAAGCGUCCGAAGGUGGCAAUGUAAGUCUGCUGUUAAAGAGUCUAGCUCAACUAGAUAAAAGCAGUGGAAACUACAUAGCUAGAGUACGUUCGGGGCAGAGGGAAUUCCUGGUGUAGCGGUGAAAUGCGUAGAGAUCAGGAAGAACACCAGUGGCGAAGGCGCUCUGCUAGGCCGUAACUGACACUGAGGGACGAAAGCUAGGGGAGCGAAUGGG
rnacentral:rRNA from 1 species